AACGAACGCUGGCGGCAUGCUUAACACAUGCAAGUCGAACGACCUGAGGGCUUCGGUCCCCGUUGCUAGUGGCGCACGGGUGAGUAACACGUCGGAAUAUGCCCUUUAGUACGGAAUAACCAAGGGAAACUUUGGCUAAUACCGCAUACGCCCUUCGGGGGAAAGAUUUAUCGCUAAAGGAUUAGCCCUCGUCUGAUUAGGUAGUUCGUGAGGUCAUGUCUCACCAAGCCGACGACCAGUAGCUGGGCUGAGAGGAUGAGCAGCGACACUGGGACUGAGAAACGGCGGGGAAUCUUACGGGAGGGAGGAGAGGGGAAUAUUGGAAAAUGGGGGGAACGCUGAAGCAGCCAGGGCGGGUGAGUGAAGAAGGCAGUGGGGAAGCAAAGCACGUUAGAAGGGGACGAUGAUGACGGUACCUGUAGAAGAAGCCCCGGCAAACUUCGUG
rnacentral:rRNA from 1 species